rnacentral:lncRNA from 1 species
UUGUUUGAGAAAGGAUGUUUUGGUAUUUUUGUAAUUUUUAUGUAAGAAAAAAAAAAGGUCUUCUAGCACAAGGACGAUGCGUGCGAUCACACAUGCGCUAGAAUCCUUAAAAUAUAUUUUUAAUUUUUAUUUAUAGAAAAGAAGGGGUUUUCUAGCACAAGGACGAUGCGUGCGAUCACACAUGNAAAGAAGGGGUUUUCUAGCACAAGGACGAUGCGUGCGAUCACACAUGCGCUAGACCCCUUAAAAUAUAUUUUUAAUUUUUAUUUAUAGAAAAGAAAGAGUUUUCUAGCACAAGGACGAUGCGUGCGAUCACACAUGUGCUAGACUCCUUAAAAUAUAUUUUUAGUAUUUUUAUUUAUAGAAAAGAAAGGGUUUUGUAGCACAAGGACGAUGUGUGCGAUCACACAUGUGCUAGACCCCUUAAAAUAUAUUUUUGGUAUUUUUAUUUAUAGAAAAGAAAGGGUUUUCUAGCACAAGGACGAUGCAUGCGAUCACACAUGUGCUAGACCCCUUAAAAUAUAUUUUUGAUGUUUAUUUAUAAAAGUAUAUUUAAAAAGGUAGAUAAAUAUUUAAAAUGGAAGCAAAAGAAAAAAAAGAAAAAUAAAAGAUAGAUAAAUAAAUAAUGAAAAUAAAAUAAAAAGUAAAAGAUAAAAUAGAUAAAAAUAAACUAAUAAGUAAAAAGAAAGGGUGUGGUGGUGCUAAAAUAAGAGAAGGGGUAUUCAAUCCCAAUUUAGUUCUAAAAACAGAUUGAGCCUAAGCCCAAGUAGAAAAAAGGUGGUAAAAAUGAAAAAUAGGGGUGUACAAACUAAAUUAUCUCUAAAGGCAGAUUGGGCCUAAGCCCAAUUGAAAAGGGUGUGACUUAGCGAACAUGGGGUGCAGAAGGGAUUCCCUUUUUUUAAUCAACAGAUGGGCUCAAGCCCAUUGCACAUGCGGUGCCAGAUAGUAGAAACUGGGGUGGCGAGAGAAGGUUUUUUGUUUGGUUUUAUUAUUAUUAUUUUGUUGGUUGGGCUUGACACCCAGGCCCAUGCUCUCUUGACCUAGAAUCGUAAGAGGGGUCAAGCCUCACUACCUCACUCUGCACUCUCAGACUCAAACACCAGAGACUCAAGGUUUCGCGUCUCUCUCUCGAAGACAACCGAACCCUCAAGCUUUCUCUCUCUCACAAGGGCGCGCCACCACCCUCAGCCAGAACCGGCCACCAGGCCAAUACUUGCACCAGUCUCGACCUCGCUGGUGGCAAUAGGUGUCACCGGAACCAUGGUUGGCCACCGCGUCCUCUUUGCGUCUCUCUCUCAAUCGCAACCGCCCAGGAUUGGGUUCCUUCGCCACCACACGACUCGACCGGCCGCCGUUCCCAUCCGGUCAGCCAUGGCAACGCCGACAUCCUCGCCACCAUCCGGCCAGCCAACGCAGGCCGUGACGACCUCACUCUCUCUCCUUCUGCUCGCGUCGGCCUAGGGUGUGGGGUUUGUCUCCAACCGGCCACCGCCUUAUCCAGUCUCGCCGCCGCUGGCGACGGCAGAUGCCACCAGGAUCCAGGCCAGCGUCACUGCACCGCCACCUUCCUUCUCCUCUUUCUAUUCUCGUGCUCUUGGGGUCAUCUCCUUUUCAUUUCACCGGUCACCACAACUCCAAUUGGUCAGGGCUGCCUUAAAGGUCCAACUUUGAACGAAUUGGCAUGGAAUUUGUGAUUUGAUUUCUGUUUAUUGGUUUGAUGCAGGUGAAAGAUGAUGUUGGGUUUGUUCUAUGGUACUCUGUGUAAGUUUCUGUUUAACUGGGUGCAAUUCCUUCGUUGGUUAUUGGAGAUGAACAGAGGCGUGGAGGUUUAAGCUUCAUUAUCUGGUUUGGCUCCUGGGAUUUUUGGUGUUUGAUGGGUAGACAUAGGCUGUCGCGUUGACAAAGAAUGGUGGAACAAGAAAAGCUGAAGUAAACUUGGAUUUCGGUUUGUUGGGAAGAUGAUGUAUCUGCAGAUGACGGGUUACUGGAAUUUGGGUUGCGCAGGUUUGGGUUAUGCAAAGAGAGUACUGGUCUCUAAUGGUUGGAGGUGGUGAAGCAUGUUCAGUUUGUUGGGAUGAAUGGAAAACAAAAAAACAAACCAUGUACAGAAACAAAUCAUGCAUACUCAAUAUAAUAGCAAGUUCGAUAUGAGCAGUCAAAGCCAGGCAUUACCAAAUCAGAACAGAAGGAGAAACCCCAUUAGGAGUAAAUUGUAAUCGUCUAACAUUCAUAACUUUGUGAGUGAUGAAGUUAAAGAGAACUUACCUUCUACGUUUACACUCUCUUCUCUCAAGUCCUUGUGAUCCUUUUUCUUAUGAUUCAACUCCACUUCUUUUCUUCAGUAGCCUUGGUGUUAGUCUAGAGAAAAAACAUUUUUCUUUGCUUCGUAAGUGUGAGGAGUGGUCAUGAAAAAAAUGGAUACUGUUUUUUUUUAUGAUUCCCAACUGGUGAGAAUGGGUGAUCAAAGUAACUGAGAGCAGGGGCAAUGGUUAGUACCGAGUACUGGUCGUGGCUGCCCAAGUGGACGGUUUCAUCAUGGAGGUUAUUAGAGGAGCCGAAGGGUGGAGAACGUGUCCUUCCUUGCCUGCCAAGACCAAACCGCCUCUGCCAAAUGUACCUCUGCCAAUUUGCAAAACGUUCUCUGCCAAAAUCCAUCCCUACACCUGUCAUGUCCCCCUUUUGUCGUUUACAAAUGUGGCUUCACUCAUUUUUUCUUUUUUUUAAUUAAAUAUAUUUAAACAAGAUAAAAUAUAAAAAGGUAAAACUUAAAAAAUGAAAAUAAAAAAUUAAAAAUUAAAAAAUAUAAAGGGAAAAGCAAAAUGAAAUAAAAAGAGAAUAGGAUGAGAUAAAUAGAAUAAAAACUAAAUCAAAUACUAAAUAGUAAAACAAAAAUUAAACAAAAUAAAACAAAAAUAAAAUAAAAUAAAAAUAAAAUAAAAUAAGACAAAAAUAAAAACUAGUCCUAUUAUUCAGUCAUCCGGACGAAAUUGGGUGUUGACACAGUAUCUCAUGACCAAAGAAGGAAAUUACAAACCAAGUAUACCCUUUAUUCCUAGUCACUAGUACAUAUCAAAUUCGAAAAAGUUACAUCAUAAUUAAUAUAACAACUUUUCUACGGUUCAUUACAUGAUUAAUCAAUUGGAUAAAACCCCCAACCCUUUCUAGAAUCAUUAUUGUUUCAGAUUGAGACCCGAAACCAAACACAAACCAAGUUGUUUCGCUGAAUUGCC